GGAUGACCUAACAGCAUGGGGUGCGGUCAGAGCACGGACGGGUUCUCGAACUAUGGGUCGUCGCCACACAACAGCCAAUUCAUGACGACGCAGAGCUCCAACGUAACCAUGUACGGUAACAACAACAACAACGGCAGCAUGAAGAACGUCUCCGUUGACCGGUCGACCUUGGAAGCUUAUAUAAAGCUUGAGCGCGAGAUUGCAGAGGAGGAGGCGAGCAACCCUC